rnacentral:tRNA from 1 species
GGCGUCUUAGCCAAGUGGUAAGGCACGGGUCUGCAACACCUUGACCGCCAGUUCAAAUCUGGCAGACGCCU